UUCAAUGCACUUCUCCUCCUCCCAGUAGC
rnacentral:piRNA from 2 species